UACGUAGGGCGCAAGCGUUGUCCGGAAUCAUUGGGCGUAAAGAGCUCGUAGGCGGCCUGUUGCGUCCGCUGUGAAAUCCCGGGGCUUAACCCCGGGCGUGCAGUGGAUACCGGGCUGGCUGGAGGCAGGCAGGGGAGAACGGAAUUCCCGGUGUAGCGGUGAAAUGCGCAGAUAUCGGGAGGAACACCGGUGGCGAAGGCGGUUCUCUGGGCCUGUACUGACGCUGAGGAGCGAAAGCGUGGGGAGCGAACAGG
rnacentral:rRNA from 1 species